rnacentral:rRNA from 1 species
UCCGAGCGUAGUAGUAAAAUAUCUCGCUAGGGAGGUGUCGCGGGUUCCGGCCGUGAAAGCCCAUCUUUUACACAAGGUUGACCUCGGAUCAGGUAGGAAUACCCGCUGAACUUAAGCAUAUCAAUAAGCGGAGGAAAAGAAACCAACAGGGAUUGCCCCAGUAACGGCGAGUGAAGCGGCAACAGCUCAAAUUUGAAAUCUGGCUUCGGCCCGAGUUGUAAUUUGUAGAGGAUGCUUUUGGUGAGGUGCCUUCUGAGUUCCCUGGAACGGGACGCCAGAGAGGGUGAGAGCCCCGUAUAGUUGGACACCGAGCCUCUGUAAAGCUCCUUCGACGAGUCGAGUAGUUUGGGAAUGCUGCUCAAAAUGGGAGGUAUAUCUCUUCUAAAGCUAAAUACUGGCCAGAGACCGAUAGCGCACAAGUAGAGUGAUCGAAAGAUGAAAAGCACUUUGAAAAGAGGGUUAAAUAGUACGUGAAAUUGUUGAAAGGGAAGCGCUUGUGACCAGACUUGUGCCCGGCUGAUCAUCCAGUGUUCUCACUGGUGCACUCUGCCGGGCUCAGGCCAGCGUCGGUUCUCGCAGGGGGACAAAAGCUUCGGGAACGUAGCUCCUCCGGGAGUGUUAUAGCCCGUUGCUCAAUACCCCUG